UAGGGAAUCUUCGGCAAUGGGGGGAACCCUGACCGAGCAACGCCGCGUGAGUGAAGAAGGUUUUCGGAUCGUAAAGCUCUGUUGUUAAGGAAGAACGAGUGUGAGAAUGGAAAGUUCAUACUGUGACGGUACUUAACCAGAAAGGGACGGCUAACUACGUGCCAGCAGCCGCGGUAAUACGUGGGUCCCGAGCGUUGUCCGGAUUUAUUGGGCGUAAAGCGAGCGCAGGCGGUUAGAUAAGUCUGAAGUUAAAGGCAGUGGCUCAACCAUUGUAGGCUUUGGAAACUGUUUAACUUGAGUGCAGAAGGGGAGAGUGGAAUUCCAUGUGUAGCGGUGAAAUGCGUAGAUAUAUGGAGGAACACCGGUGGCGAAAGCGGCUCUCUGGUCUGUAACUGACGCUGAGGCUCGAAAGCGUGGGGAGCGAACAGG
rnacentral:rRNA from 1 species